rnacentral:rRNA from 1 species
AACUACAGCCAUACCACCCUGAACGCGCCUGAUCUCGUCUGAUCUCAGAAGCUAAGCAGGGUCGGGCCUGGUUAGUACUUGGAUGGGAAAAAGUAACAUCUGUGACCAGCAGGAUUCAGGUGGGGGAGGAG